rnacentral:rRNA from 1 species
AACGCGAAGAACCUUACCUGGGCUCGAAGCGCAGUGGAAUCCGGUGGAAACAUCGGCGCCCCUUAAAAGGCUGCUGCGGAGGUGCUGCAUGGCUGUCGUCAGCUCGUGUCGUGAGAUGUUGGGUUAAGUCCCGCAACGAGCGCAACCCUUAUCGUUAGUUGCCAGCGGGUUAUGCCGGGCACUCUAGCGAAACCGCCCCGGAUAACGGGGAGGAAGGUGGGGAUGACGUCAAGUCCUCAUGGCCUUUAUGUCCAGGGCUACACACGUGCUACAAUGGCCGGUACAAAGCGCUGCAAACCCGCGAGGGGGAGCUAAUCGCAAAAAGCCGGCCUCAGUUCGGAUUGCAGGCUGCAACUCGCCUGCAUGAAGCUGGAAUCGCUAGUAAUGCCGUAUCAGAACGAUGGCGUGAAUACGUUCCCGGGCCUUGUACACACCGUAGAGAC